CAAAAGAUAAGCUAAUUAUAAGCUAGUGGGUUCAUACCCCAUUAAUGUGAGCAAAACUCUCACUCUUUUUA
rnacentral:tRNA from 1 species